rnacentral:rRNA from 1 species
UAAGCGGAGGAAAAGAAACUAACAAGGAUUCCCCUAGUAACGGCGAGUGAAGCGGGAAGAGCUCAAAUUUGAAAUCUGGCACUUUCAGUGUCCGAGUUGUAAUCUCGAGAAGUGUUUUCCGCGCUGGACCGCAUAUAAGUCUGUUGGAAUACAGCGUCAUAGUGGUGAGAACCCCGUAAAUGAUGCGGACGCCCAGUGCUUUGUGAUACACUUUCGAAGAGUCGAGUUGUUUGGGAAUGCAGCUCAAAUUGGGUGGUAAAUUCCAUCUAAAGCUAAAUAUUGGCGAGAGACCGAUAGCGAACAAGUACCGUGAGGGAAAGAUGAAAAGCACUUUGGAAAGAGAGUUAACAGUACGUGAAAUUGUUGGAAGGGAAACGCUUGAAGUCAGACUUGCUGUUUGGAAUUCAGCCGCAAGGUGUACUUUUCAGAUAUGCAGGCCAGCAUCAGUUUUUGGGGGUGAAAAAGGGUAUUGAGAAGGUAGCAGUUUCGGCUGUGUUAUAGCUCUUUACUGGAUUCAUCCUUGGGGACUGAGGAACGCAGCUCACUUUUUGCACGACCCUCGGGUUGUUCUGAGCUUAGGAUGCUGGUGGAAUGGCUUUAAACGACCCGUCUUGAAACACG